rnacentral:rRNA from 1 species
AGUGAACGCUGGCGGUAGGCCUAACACAUGCAAGUCGAACGGCAGCACAGUAAGAGCUUGCUCUUACGGGUGGCGAGUGGCGGACGGGUGAGGAAUACAUCGGAAUCUACUUUUUCGUGGGGGAUAACGUAGGGAAACUUACGCUAAUACCGCAUACGACCUACGGGUGAAAGCAGGGAUCUUCGGACCUUGCGCGAUUGCAUGAGCCGAUGUCGGAUUAGCUAGUUGGCGGGGUAAAGGCCCACCAAGGCGACGAUCCGUAGCUGGUCUGAGAGGAUGAUCAGCCACACUGGAACUGAGACACGGUCCAGACUCCUACGGGAGGCAGCAGUGGGGAAUAUUGGACAAUGGGCGCAAGCCUGAUCCAGCCAUACCGCGUGGGUGAAGAAGGCCUUCGGGUUGUAAAGCCCUUUUGUUGGGAAAGAAAAGCAGCAGGUUAAUACCCCGCUGUUCUGACGGUACCCAAAGAAUAGGCACCGGCUAACUUCGUG